AAUGUGUAUUUUUUUUACCUAAGUUUUUUCCUGUUACUUAGCCUGUCUGUAACACUUUCACAUGAAUAGUUGGAGGGAAAGGCAAAGAUCAAGAGAAAAUGAGGAAAAAAUGAAGAAGUGAAAGAAAGUGAAAAAAGGUGUGUUAGUUGGUGGUCAAAAUAUUAUGAGGGGGAUGGGAGAGGGGU